CUAGAGCGCAAGUCUAGCCGGCUCGAGACUAGUAGUCUUCGCUCGGCGCAUUUCUCCGGGGUAUAGCACUGCGACCGAUACGAAAGGCUGGCGAAGCGACUGGGUUGAGGUCGAGACCCGCGAGGUGCUCUCGUUUCCAGCCCUAUCGCCUAGAGUCGCCAGACCGCAGUAUGUAUCGAGCGCCAGUAAGAUGAUAUGUCGGCGUAGAGUGCUCGCUCGAGCGGUGGACGGUCCUUAGACCUUCGCUGGCGCCUGCUCGCAGGUACCGGCGAGUCCUUAGGGGCCUAGAAGCCGCCGGCGACUUUGACAUAUCGGCGUCUGCAGUGUCAGUGUCGGCCACCCGUCCGACCCGUCUUGAAACACGGACCAAGGAGUCUAACAUAUGCGCGAGCUAGUGGGUGAGAAAACCCAGAAGCGCAAUAAAAGUGAACGCCGUCUCAGGCGGCUUAGAUACGAUCCUAGAGUCCUUCGGUGACUACUGGGCGCAGUAUCGUCCCGUCUCGACCGCAUGUCGGUAGGGCGGAGAUAGAGUGCAUACGUUGGGACCCGAAAGAUGGUGAACUAUGCCUGAGCAGA
rnacentral:rRNA from 1 species